rnacentral:lncRNA from 1 species
CACCUUUAUACCUUCCUGGUACAUAUGACUUUGAACAAUUUUCAGGGAGAAAAAAAAAAAACAACAACGACAACAAAGAAAACCUAGACAAACAGCUCCUUUUCACCUUUACUACACAGGUGAGAAUCUCUCAAAGGAAAGGGAGCAAAAUGACUGCAAAGAAAGGAGGGAAGAUUCAUAUUGCUCGCUUCUGAACGCUUCAUUAUAUAUUCAAAUU